AGAGGGGCCUCAUCGAGCUCGUCCUCGUCUGGCAACGCGGCCUCGAUCAGGAUAUAAAACUUUUUGUUUUAAUCAGAGCAAAUGUCAGCUACUAAACGGUCCUCUUUUGGUUAACAUACCCCAUUUUUGAAAAUAGCUUCACAAAGAUUCAAACACAUUUUUCGAAUACCAUAAUUAUUUCAGCCGUAAAAUAACAAAAUUUCGUAAGAUUUAACUCGAAAGAACUUUUGAAUUUUUAUAAAAAAAAUAACAAAGUUCCUUACGGGACUGUUUCAGACGUUUACGAGAUAUGCCGUAACUCAAACAGUUCUCUGAGAAGAUGCUCUGGUAUUGAUCUAUUCUCGAUGUGUCCACUCCGUCGAAACCCCCUUCGGAUUGUACACUCUAUGCAGCCCACCACCAUCAUCAUCAUCAUCUGAUUUACUCACUGUGCACGAAAGUAUGAACUUCCUGACAAUCGGCUCAACGCUGCUGCUGACUGGGUUUGUUUGUUUUUGCAUUUUUUUGUUCAUACUCCCCCUUUAAAGCUCCAACAAGUGCUGACUGAUUUAGCAGCAGGGGGGGUUUUAUUUAUUGUGAGUUUGUUUUUUAUUGCAUUUUCCCAUUAUGACGAUUCGCUUGAGAGGAAGGGAAGAGAUCAUCUUCGCACUGUCGAUGUCGUCGUCGUCGUCGUCUCGUCGUCGUUGUCGUCUUCGUCAAUGCUCGUAAAACUGGCGCGCACGUUUCCCUUGCAAUGCUUUACACUGUGCUAGUAAAGACACAAUGAGAAGAAGUUGGAGUUCCCGGUGCGUACUUCCAGCGAAUUAGUAUUAGCACGAUUUAGCGAUAGAAAUUCGUAGAAAACGAGGCUAGUGAGUCAGUUUUAAUUUCAUUUAGCUUUUCUACAUAGUACCAUUUCCAUUGAAUGCCUGUUUUCAUGAAUGAUUUUAAAGUAAAUUCCAAAUGUCUGUUUUUUGGAAACGCCGAAACGGAAGUAAAUGAGUUAUCCCUUAUACUAACUAUGCAUACCAGCUUAAAUUUGGGCGAUGAACGAACUAGUCGUAAUCUAGCAUUUCUAUAAUGAUACUAGAGAGCGAUUAAGAGUUUGAUGCACAAUAGCCAAAAUUGUCAAUGUCGCUUACGUUACUCUGACGAAUCCCGACAGUAGAGAAGUUUUCAAAACACAGGAGUAUAAAAUAAUGCAUAGAAUAUGAUGCAUAAUACCACGUGGUUUUUAUCUUAAUGCAUUACUCAAAAAAAAAGAUAAUAAGAGAUUUCCCGAAUAUCAAAAAGGAUACAUGAAAUUUAAUGCACCAGAAUAAUGGAGCCCAAAUCGAUACUACGGUACAGAUUGGCAGUGGACUUUCACCGCAAAUCACACGCAUCGAAUCUAAAUUUAUGCAUUCACCGCAAAGCGCAGGUUUCAAUUUCACUUUCAGAGCAAAUCUGGUUCGAUUAAGUGUACAAUGUAAAUUCAACUCAUUCACGCAGCAAAACAAACAAACACAAAAAAAAACAACCGGCAUGUUAAAUUAUUUUCGGCUCAUUCGCAUAUUGACGCUUCCCGUAAAUUUUGGUUAACAGUAUCAGCCGGCAAAUAGAAAUGAGGAGGAAGCAAAAUUUCACUUUCUUUCGGUGGAAGACAAGACGGACGGCACACGAUACUAAUGGGGAUGGAUGGGAAAUCCGGCCAAAUCGGUGUAGGGGUAUUACUUUCGAUUUUUAUCGUGCAUAAUUGUAUGUUUACCUUUUGUGUGGGUAAUCGAAUUCUUUUGUUACGUUGUGAUUCCCAUGCGGUUGCGUAUAACUAUGUUGUCGAAUAAAAUUCGAUUCUACUAUAAGAGAAGUUUGGGAAAAACUAUUUUAUUUCAUUACUGAAAUUUUACUGUGGGUUUUCUGGUCUGUUUUUACAAAACCAAAGCAUGCCUCAUGACAAAUGCACUUUAACCCUUUAUAAGGCAGUGGCAACUAUAUUGCCAUCUUAUACACAUAUUUUUUUCCGUUCGUUUAGAAAAUUUUUACAACUUCUGUUUUAACUGAUGGACACAUUAGGCCUUUGUGAACACUCAUGAUUUUUUUGAGCCAUAACAAAUAUGAAUGGGCUUUUUAGAACAAAAUGUCUCUCCAAAAACAUCCAUUUUUGAGUGCAUGAAGGUUUAUAAGCUCGAAAUUCUGUUAUGGUGAGCGAAUUGAAAAUCAAAUGAUUGGGAAUGAAAGGCCUAUGUUCCUUUUACUUGCGGACACACUUUCAACUUGAUUGCUUCAUUAUUAUUAGAAACUCAGCCUUUUGAAAAAAUGUACUAUAAUAAAUGGGCAUUACGUCCAAAAUAAUUGACCAAUCGAGUUCAAAUCCACACAAGUAACUCAUGAAUGUUAGGGCAAUAACCUGUCAAAAAAUCAGCAUGAUUGAUUAACGCAUCACAAAAUAACAACAUUUUAAACUUUGUUGACAAAAAGUUGAAAUUACAUACAAAAUCGACCACCGAAUUUUUUGAAAACAAAAACGUUUUUGUUCAUUACACUACAUGUACUUUAUAUUCCAAUGUAGAACGAGUGAAUUCCGUGCCUGGUUCUCUCGGCCUUAUAAAGGGUUAAGAAUUCCGCAAUGCAAUUUCCAUAAGCGUUUGAUUUCAGAAGAGUUCUUGAUCCUCUAGAAAAUCUGACGUAGUUAUCAAAAUACGCUGUCGACAAAUAUACAAACUAAGCAAAAUGUGGAUGAACACAAAUUUCAUAGAAAAAAAAAUGCAUUUAUGAUAUCUAACACGUAUUCGCGAAUCUAUUUCUUUGCCAUUUUAUGUUUAUUCAUUCUGCAUUUCGAACGCUUUGUGUGCUAGAAAAAAAGUGUUUAGGAUCAAUAUGAUUAUGGCUUACUUAAAAUAUUACACUUACUUAAAUUUAUAAUCCGAUUUACAUACUUUUUCAUAGUAUUCGUUUGAUCAAUAUAUUGUUGCACAAAACUUGUCAAUGACUUGAUUUUUUUUACCAAUCGAAAUCGACUGUUUAUUUUAGCAAUCUGCAAUUCUGAAACUGGAUUACAACUCCACCUAGUUCAAACCAAAUCUAAUCCGAUGAGCAAUUUUACUUCUUCAUUGAAUCAUGCCAUUUUAGUGAUGAUUGUUUCGAUUUCUCUAUUGAAAUUGUUUAUUGUAUACACCUCACGCAGUGCAUCCCGCCCGACUAGUUGAAAUGAACGUCGAAACUUUUCCUAUCAUCGUUUGUUUACUUUUCUCAAUUUCUGACUGACUCAGUUCACACUUUACCGAACGCGGAGCUAGUUUAGCGCUUAAUUAUCGCUGUCUCUAUGUAUAGUGCUUCGAGUGCCGCGGUAAAUGUGUACGAAGUUUUUUUUUGCAACGGUUGCGAGCUUUCGGAGAUAUGUAUCACAGUAAGGUCAGUUCACUGCGGCCUUUUGUGUGGUACCACGUAAAGAGAGAACGACUACAAUCAACAGCGGACGAUUGUUAUCUACCAGCUGGCUGGGGUAGGUGAUGAUUAAUCUUAAUAUUGUCGCUUUCAGCGGUAUAGUCAUAGCUAGCACGAAUACCAGGGGCGAAAUAAAGUUUUGAUAGUGUUCGGACGGCAUAGUGAACGAUUUCCACGAAAUGAUUUGUGAGGUAUAGUUUAUUUAGCCGGUGGUGGGUUGACGUAGUCUGAUGGAUACUGCUGAAAAUUGAUGUUUACAAUUAUUUGCUAUCAUUUCAAGGUUUACGAUAGUUUAUGAUGCAUAAACUCUCAAAAAACUUAAUCCACGUUCAUGAUUUAACACAUAUAAUUUUAAGUUUACUGCUUUAUGUUGUUUAUCUACGUGAUAAUUCCAUUAAGGACAGACUUGUUAGAAUCCCAAAAUGGCCGCCACAAUGGCCGACUUUGGCACCUACUCACGAUUUCGAGGGCACAAAUCUCUGCGUAAACAAAAUCAUCGCACCUGAGCUUUUUAUUUUAAGCUAAUUACAAGUGAGCAAGAACAGAAUAAUCAAAUGCAUUGUUGUUUGAAGCUUGCUACUUGAGAUUUGUGCAUUUGAAGUUUUGAUGCAAUAUUGAAGCGGGAUUUUAAGACGUUUGUCCUUAACUGAAAUUGUAUUUUCAAAUCAAUGUCUAAAACAUGCACAACCUUAUCGUGGCAUAUUCAAUUAUUCAGUAAUAAAAUGAAAUGGGAAAAUAUUCAAUUAACUAACAAUUGUACCCUGUAAUCCAAAUGGAUAACGAGGUCCAAUCCUAGGAUAACGAAUUGCACUGGUUGGCUUUAGUAUACAGCGAACCAAUGUGUAAUUUAUAAAACUGACAAAAUGUUCACAACAAAUAAGAUACGUAACACACUCCAUGCAACAAUUGAAGAAUUUUCUAUGAAUUGGAAAAUGCAAUUCAUGGAAAAUUCCUUAAAACUAGUUUACAAAUGUAACACAUCACUAGUAAUCUAAUCUAAUCUCACACUAACGCAGCCAUUACUUGAAUGCAUCCUGGAAAAUGAAGACUUUUCAAAUCUAUCAUUUUUCUUGUCUAACGGCCAGGCCAACUGCGCAGCAUGUACCGCAGAGAGGAUUCCAAGGAAUAGAAAGAUUUCAACAUAGUCAAUAUUUGAAAACAUUCUACACCUUGAAAUCGAGGGGAAAGAAGGAUGCGUGGACCUCCCGUACCAAACGCUUCCAGAUAACGAUAUAGAUAAUUAAACAUGUUCGCAUGUAUUAAUAUGGUGAUGUAUACGGUGAUUUGCUAAAAAAUAUUGAUUAGUGCGCCAGGAAUGGCGGUAAGAUUCUUCACUGAAAAGAGAAUAAAGGAUUAAGUAAUAUAUACUGAAUAAGGCAUAAGUGAUACGCUCGUUACAGUUACUAUUUUUUAAAACAUGGUAUUAUUAUACAAUAAAAUUACCUGAAUCCUCCUGAAACAUAAAGGUUUAUUAGCAGUUAAAAACAAAACAUAAAUAAAAAAAUAACCAUUACAAAAUACAUCAAAUUUUAAUCUGGUAUGCUACCACUUUAGGCAAAAAAUAGCAAGAUUAAAAUUUGAUGGAAUGUGGUAGAUCUUACACCGUAACGCACCAUUCUAAGGUGAUCUACCCACGUUACGGGAACAAAUGUAACACAUCACUAGUAACAGCGGAAAAAAAAUCCACAAUCAAAAUCGCGAUUCUUGUAAAAAAAAUAAAACAAUCCUUUUUACCAUCAUAUCAAGUAGUCGAUUGGUGGCAGCGAUGAUCAUUUUGUUUGGUGCUGAACAGACCUCAACAUGGCAUUGUCACCAGACUAACAUAAAAUUAAUGAGACCAGACUAACUUAAAACUAAUAACGCCAGCGUAUCCUGAAAAAGGGGUAUGAUCUAACGCCAUUUAACAACGAUCAAAGAAUUGCCAUCAACCAAGCACUUAGCUUUUAUCUAUCUGAACUGUUGUGGACACUCAUAUUUGAUCUACUCUAAGUUUACUUACCUAACUUAAAC